rnacentral:pre_miRNA from 11 species
CCAAGGGAAUAAGUGAAGCUGCCAGCAUGAUCUAGCUUUGGCUAGGGAUACAGAGAAAGAGAGAGAUCAGAGCUAACCCUAGCUAGGUCAUGCCCUGACAGCCUCACUCCUUCCUUCU